GAUGAACGCUGGCGGCGUGCCUAAUACAUGCAAGUCGAGCGAACAGACGAGGAGCUUGCUCCUCUGACGUUAGCGGCGGACGGGUGAGUAACACGUGUAUAACCUACCUAUCAUACUGGGAUAACUUCGGGAAACCGGCGCUAAUCCCGUAUAAUAUAUUGAACCGCAUGGUUCAAUAGUGAAAGACGGUUUUGCUGUCACUUAUAGAUGGAUCCGCGCCGCAUUAGCUAGUUGGUAAGGUAACGGCUUACCAAGGCAACGAUGCGUAGCCGACCUGAGAGGGUGAUCGGCCACACGGGAACUGAGACACGGUCCAGACUCCUACGGGAGGCAGCAGUAGGGAAUCUUCCGCAAUAGGCGAAAGCAUGACGGAGCAACGCCGCGUGAGAGAUGAAGGUCUUCGGAUCGUAAAACUCUGUUAUUAGGGAAGAACAAAUGUGUAAGUAACUAUGCACGUCUUGACGGUACCUAAUCAGAAAGCCACGGCUAACUACGUG
rnacentral:rRNA from 1 species